rnacentral:rRNA from 1 species
GACGAACGCUGGCGGCGUGCCUAAUACAUGCAAGUAGAACGCUGAAGGAAGGAGCUUGCUCUUUCUGGAUGAGUUGCGAACGGGUGAGUAACGCGUAGGUAACCUGCCUGGUAGCGGGGGAUAACUAUUGGAAACGAUAGCUAAUACCGCAUAAAAUUGAUUAUUGCAUGAUAGUCAAUUAAAAGGUGCAACUGCACCACUACCAGAUGGACCUGCGUUGUAUUAGCUAGUUGGUGGGGUAACGGCUCACCAAGGCGAGGAUACAUAGCCGACCUGAGAGGGUGGUCGGCCACACUGGGACGGAGACACGGCCCAGACUCCUACGGGAGGCAGCAGUAGGGAUUCUUCGGCAAUGGACGGAAGUCUGACCGAGCAACGCCGCGUGAGUGAAGAAGGUUUUCGGAUCGGAAAGCUCGGUUGUAAGAGAAGAACGAGUGUGAGAGUGGAAAGUUCACACUGUGACGGUAUCUUACCAGAAAGGGACGGCUAACUACGUG